GUGUGGCAGAGCACCUCUGGUAUCUGCCACUGUAAGAGCCUGAAGAGGCAACCGCCAGGUGCGGCCCAGCUCUGACAAGCAGCCAUUUUAAGAUUCAGGCCAGCAGAGCUGGAGGCAGCACUUGGCUGACUGGCACCAAGGAAGCAACAUCUGGUGGAGCUGCUGCUCUGGUAACACAAGGAGAUCCCAUCCAGAUCCAGCUUGCGAGGCCAUGUUACCUGGCCUGUGGAACGGUGAUAGUGUUAAUUGCUGUUCUGUUGCUGCCAAACUUCCAGACCUGUGGAAAUUUCCAAAUCAGAUGAUGUGGCUCAUCAUGGUAGAUCAUGCUGACUAUUGAUCUCUGGUUAAGAUGAUGUGUUCCCAACAGUGUCCCACUUAUGCUGAAAACCGAGUGUGACAUCACAUGACUCA